GGUUGUGGCUCAGUGGUAAAGUGCUUACCUAGCAUGCAUGAGGCACUGGGUUCAAUCCCUGGCACCA
rnacentral:tRNA from 1 species